AGAACGAACGCUGGCGGCAGGCCUAAAACAUGCAAGUCGAGCGCCCCGCAAGGGGAGCGGCGGACGGGUGAAUAACACGUGGGAAUGUACCUUUCGGUACGGAACAACUCAGGGAAACUUGAGCUAAUACCGUAUGCGCCCUAACGGGGAAAGAUUUAUCGCCGAAAGAUCAGCCCGCGUCCGAUUAGCUAGUUGGUGAGGUAACGGCUCACCAAGGCACCGAUCGGUAGCUGGUUUGAGAGAACGAUCAGCCACACUGGGACUGAGACACGGCCCAGACUCCUACGGGAGGCAGCAGUUGGGAAUCUUGGACAAUGGGCGCAAGCCUGAUCCAGCCAUGCCGCGUGAGUGAUGAAGGCCUUCGGGUUGUAAAGCUCUUUCGCCUACGACGAUAAUGACGGUAGUAGGAGAAGAAGCCCGGCUAACUUCGCGCCAGCAGCCGC
rnacentral:rRNA from 1 species